rnacentral:rRNA from 1 species
AUGUUCUUAUGGAUUGUUGGAGGCCCUCAAUCAUUUGCUCAAGCUGAGAACCAUUUUGUACGAUCACUUUGGACAGUUCAUACAAAGUUUAAGGAAGUUUUGUUAUGUUUGCGCAAGUUAGCGAAAGAUAACAUCAAACCUAGAGAUCCUACUUUUAGGCAUGAGCAUGAAAAGAUUAAGGAAGAGCGUUUCUGGCCUCAUUUCAAAGGCGCUAUUGGUGCCAUAGAUGGAUCACAUGUGCCCGUUUCAGUGCCUGCAGAUGAUGCGGUUAACCAUAGAUGUCGACAUGGUUUCACAUCUCAGAAUGUGCUUGCAGUAUGUGACUUUGACAUGAGGUUUACGUUUGUGGUUGCGGGUUGGCCGGGCUGUGCACAUGAUACAAGGGUCUUGAAUCAUGCAUUAGCACACUUCCCUUCAUUUCCUAUACCACCCAAAGGGAAAUACUAUCUUGUCGACUCUGGGUAUCCAAACUGA